rnacentral:rRNA from 1 species
CAGCCGCCGCGGGAAUACGAAGGGUGCAAGCGUUACUCGGAAUUACUGGGCGUAAAGCGUGCGUAGGUGGUGGUUUAAGUCCGUUGUGAAAGCCCUGGGCUCAACCUGGGAAUUGCAGUGGAUACUGGGUCACUAGAGUGUGGUAGAGGAUAGUGGAAUUUCCGGUGUAGCGGUGAAAUGCGUAGAGAUCGGGAGGAACAUCAGUGGCGAAGGCGGCCAACUGGGACAACACUGACGCUGAGGCACGAAAGCGUGGGGAGCAAACAGGAUUAGAUACCCCGGUAGUCCCUGUCUCUUAUAC